GACGUAGGGCGCGAGCGUUGUCCGGGUUUAUUGGGCGUAAAGAGCUCGUAGGCGGCUUGUCGCGUCGAAUGUGAAAACCCACGGCUCAACUGUGGGCUUGCAUUCGAUACGGGCAGGCUAGAGUUCGGUAGGGGAGACUGGAAUUCCUGGUGUAGCGGUGAAAUGCGCAGAUAUCAGGAGGAACACCGGUGGCGAAGGCGGGUCUCUGGGCCGAUACUGACGCUGAGGAGCGAAAGCGUGGGGAGCGAACAGG
rnacentral:rRNA from 1 species